rnacentral:rRNA from 1 species
GACGAACGCUGGCGGCGUGCUUAACACAUGCAAGUCGAACGGAAAGGCCCUGCUUUUGUGGGGUGCUCGAGUGGCCAACGGGUGAGUAACACGUGAGUAACCUGCCCUUGACUUUGGGAUAACUUCAGGAAACUGGGGCUAAUACCGGAUAGGAGCUCCUGCUGCAUGGUGGGGGUUGGAAAGUUUCGGCGGUUGGGGAUGGACUCGCGGCUUAUCAGCUUGUUGGUGGGGUAGUGGCUUACCAAGGCUUUGACGGGUAGCCGGCCUGAGAGGGUGACCGGCCACAUUGGGACUGAGAUACGGCCCAGACUCCUACGGGAGGCAGCAGUGGGGAAUAUUGCACAAUGGGCGGAAGCCGGAUGCAGCAACGCCGCGUGCGGGAUGACGGCCUUCGGGUUGUAAACCGCUUUCGCCUGUGACGAAGCGUGAGUGACGGUAAUGGGGAAAGAAGCACCGGCUAACUACGU